UACCAGCACCCCGAGUGGUCGGGACGUUUAUUGGGCCUAAAGCAUCCGUAGCCGGUUCUACAAGUCUUCCGUUAAAUCCACCUGCUUAACAGAUGGGCUGCGGAAGAUACUAUAGAGCUAGGAGGCGGGAGAGGCAAGCGGUACUCGAUGGGUAGGGGUAAAAUCCGUUGAUCCAUUGAAGACCACCAGUGGCGAAGGCGGCUUGCCAGAACGCGCUCGGCGGUGAGGGAUGAAAGCUGGGGGAGCAAACCGG
rnacentral:rRNA from 1 species